rnacentral:rRNA from 1 species
AACGAACGCUGGCGGCAUGCCUAACACAUGCAAGUCGAACGAGACCUUCGGGUCUAGUGGCGCACGGGUGCGUAACGCGUGGGACCCUGCCCUUAGGUUCGGAAUAACUCCCCGAAAGGGGUGCUAAUACCGGAUAAUGUCUUCGGACCAAAGAUUUAUCGCCUUUGGAUGGGCCCGCGUUGGAUUAGCUAGUUGGUAGGGUAAAAGCCUACCAAGGCGACGAUCCAUAGCUGGUCUGAGAGGAUGAUCAGCCACACUGGGACUGAGACACGGCCCAGACUCCUACGGGAGGCAGCAGUGGGGAAUAUUGGACAAUGGGCGAAAGCCUGAUCCAGCAAUGCCGCGUGAGUGAUGAAGGCCUUAGGGUUGUAAAGCUCUUUUACCCGGGAUGAUAAUGACAGUACCGGGAGAAUAAGCUCCGGCUAACUCCGUG